rnacentral:rRNA from 1 species
GACGAACGCUGGCGGCGUGCUUAACACAUGCCAGUCGAACGGAAAGGCCCUGCUUUUGUGGGGUGCUCGAGUGGCGAACGGGUGAGUAACACGUGAGUAACCUGCCCUUGACUUUGGGAUAACUUCAGGAAACUGGGGCUAAUACCGGAUAGGAGCUCCUGCUGCAUGGUGGGGGUUGGAAAGUUUCGGCGGUUGGGGAUGGACUCGCGGCUUAUCAGCUUGUUGGUGGGGUAGUGGCUUACCAAGGCUUUGACGGGUAGCCGGCCUGAGAGGGUGACCGGCCACAUUGGGACUGGGAUACGGCCCAGACUCCUACGGGAGGCAGCAGUGGGGAAUAAUGCACAAUGGGCGGAAGCCUUAUGCAGCAACGCCGCGUGCGGGAUGACGGCCUUCGGGUUGUAAACCGCUUUCGCCUGUGACGAAGCGUGAGUGACGGUAAUGGGUAAAGAAGCACCGGCUAACUACGUG